rnacentral:rRNA from 1 species
GAGUAAAAGGAGUCCGGUUGGAUGUCAAAACAGUUCCGUAAGUGCCGUUCGGCCUGAGGCGGGAUUGACUAAGGACGUCCGUGUCUGGACCAAGACGGGAAAUCGAUACUUUAGUGGUAUCUCACGGCAAUGAAACUUUAUCGAAUCGGUUACUGCAUGUAUUCGGUGAAGUUCGGCCAAGGAUUGUAC